rnacentral:rRNA from 1 species
AUUGAACGCUGGCGGCAGGCCUAACACAUGCAAGUCGAGCGGAUGAAGGGAGCUUGCUCCUGGAUUCAGCGGCGGACGGGUGAGUAAUGCCUAGGAAUCUGCCUGGUAGUGGGGGAUAACGUCCGGAAACGGGCGCUAAUACCGCAUACGUCCUGAGGGAGAAAGUGGGGGAUCUUCGGACCUCACGCUAUCAGAUGAGCCUAGGUCGGAUUAGCUAGUUGGUGGGGUAAAGGCCUACCAAGGCGACGAUCCGUAACUGGUCUGAGAGGAUGAUCAGUCACACUGGAACUGAGACACGGUCCAGACUCCUACGGGAGGCAGCAGUGGGGAAUAUUGGACAACGGGCGAAAGCCUGAUCCAGCCAUGCCGCGUGUGUGACGAAGGUCUUCCGAUUGUAAAGCACUUUAAGUUGGGAGGAAGGGCAGUAAGUUAAUACCUUGCUGUUUUGACGUUACCAACAGAAUAAGCACCGGCUAACUUCGUG